ensembl:lncRNA
AUGUCAACAAGGGGCCGAAGGGCCAAGAGCAUGGGCCAGCCAGCUUCCUGGAGGCCAGGGGGAGAUGCCCCCCAGGGGGCCCAGAUCGCACCCGGGGUGGGGGGCGGGGGCCGGACCCCGCGGCUCUCACGGCCCCCUCCGCCCAGAGCCGGGCCCCCCGGUCCGGCCGCCGGGCGGGGCCCUCCCCCGCCCCGGGCCCGGGAGCCGCCCCCCGGCUCCUGGCAGAGGCGGGCGUGGAGGCCGAGGAGGAAACGGGGGAGGGGCGGCUCAAGUUCCCCGCGCCCCACUCCUCACCGGCCACCAUCUUCCGGCCCUGGCCCCCCGGAGCAGCGGGGGAUGGGGCCCAGCCCGCGGCAGGGAGAGAAAGGGCAGGUGGAGGGGCGGCGGGAGCGGCGGGGCAGGCCGGGCCCGCGGCCAUGGCGACCAGAGGGGCAGCCCGGAGGGUCCCAGGAACGGGGCGCGGGGGGCGGGGUGAGGGGGGCGUGCGCUCCUUCCACACCCAGCUCGGCGCCGCCCCCCACCCCCACCGCCCCCGGGACACACACACCUGAGGCUGGACCACACACGGGCGCGCGCGCACACACUCCAGCCACACUUGCUGCACGGCUCAGCUUACUACACACUUACCCAGACGGCGUGCGUGGGGGGGAGCCCGCAGCUCGCGCUCCGAGCGCACCCCUCCAGGCCCGGCAACUCUUAAGGCAGGGGCGCGCCUCACCCCCGCGCGCAGCCCCCCGGCUCGUCCCACAACUUCUCCCGACGCACAACUCCGCGCUGGGUUCAGCCCUGCGGCCCCUGCAUUCCCCCCUCAACGCCCCCGCCAAGUCCCCUGUGCCCCACAGCCCCUGCACGCACACACACAGACACACACACACCCCCUGCGCGCGCGCGCACACACACCCCUGCGCGCGCACACACACACACACACCCUGCGCGCGCGCACGCACACACACACCCUGCACACAGACACACAUACACGCACGCCCGGGCACACACAGAUGGCCCAGCGGAGCCCCCCGCCGCGGCCCCACCACACCCCCACUGGAAAGGCGCAGGGAGCCACGCCAGCACGACACGCCUGCUGCUCCCCCGUCUCAGUUGCGGCGAAAGAAGAAACCAGAAGAGAUGCCCGCGCGGAGGGGACGGCGGGGGCAGAGAAGACGGAGGAGGGGCCCGGCCCGCCCCCGGCCCUCGCCGAGAGGAUGCGCCCCCCCAGUGCGCGGCGCUGGCCCUCGGGGCGCCCCGAUACCUACACGCCGCGCCUCCUUCCGCUCCUCGGCCCGCCGCCUCCCUCUUCCCGGGCCCUUUCUCUGCCCUCCCCGCCCCGGCGCCCCCCGCCCCCCCCGGCGCCCCACGCCCCCCGCCCGCCGCCCUCCGGGGCCGGGCUCGGGCCCCGCGGCGUCCGCGGCCGAGACGGGGGCGGGGGGCGCCGGGCGCCGCGCCCGCGCCGGGCCCCCCGCGCCCCCUUCUCCUUCCACACUCCCUGCCGUCCAUCUUGAAUACUUGGGAUUCUUGAAUGGAGUGAGCAGGAUCCGCUGCCCCAGGCUCCCAUUGGCUGCGGGUUCACCCUUUUGA